ACUCCUACGGGAGGCAGCAGUAGGGAAUCUUCCGCAAUGGACGAAAGUCUGACGGAGCAACGCCGCGUGAACGAUGAAGGCCUUCGGGUCGUAAAGUUCUGUUGUUAGGGAAGAACAAGUGCCAGAGUAACUGCUGGUACCUUGACGGUACCUAACCAGAAAGCCACGGCUAACUACGUGCCAGCAGCCGCGGUAAUACGUAGGUGGCAAGCGUUGUCCGGAAUUAUUGGGCGUAAAGCGCGCGCAGGCGGUUUCUUAAGUCUGAUGUGAAAGCCCACGGCUCAACCGUGGAGGGUCAUUGGAAACUGGGAACUUGAGUGCAGAAGAGGAGAGUGGAAUUCCACGUGUAGCGGUGAAAUGCGUAGAGAUGUGGAGGAACACCAGUGGCGAAGGCGACUCUCUGGUCUGUAACUGACGCUGAGGCGCGAAAGCGUGGGGAGCGAACAGGAUUAGAUACCCUGGUAGCUCGAU
rnacentral:rRNA from 1 species